rnacentral:lncRNA from 1 species
GAAAGUUUUAUCGUGAAAGGAAAUACUCAGAUUCGGUUGUAAAGGAAAAUUGAGUCUGAUAUUUAUUGGGAAGUAUGAGAUUAUAAAGCGUAUCGGGUCGGUUGCUUAUAGACUGUUAUUGCCACCUGUAAUGCCCUAAAAAUCUCGAAACCCAAAAAUCCCAAAAUCCCAAACUUUUUUUUGUUUUCGGUUUUAAUAAAAAUUGUGUUUUAUGUUCC